AUGAUGAAACAUGUUGUUCUUUUCUCUGUGAAUCAUAGUUCAGGAAGCACGCUAAUAACAGUACUCACCACAGCUACCAACGGAGAGCCAUACAUUAAUAUGGAAGCCACCAAACCAAUGCUACCGACAAAUACUUUACGCAUUUGGUGGGUGUGGAAUGAGAAAAUUGAGAAAAAUACAGCCAUGCCGAAGAUGAUUAGAAUUGGAGAUACCAUCAUCAUGACAAGCUUCUGCAAAAGAUUGCCAACACUGGCAUCCAUAUUUUCUUACCGCAAAGUUACUGACAUGCUAAUGGAAGGAGAAUCACAGAUCUUGAGAAAUAACUUACCUUUUUCUCUCGUGGUGCAAACCAUAUGUAUAUACUGA
rnacentral:rRNA from 1 species